rnacentral:lncRNA from 1 species
AAAUAUUCAAAUUCAAAUAUACUUAUAAUAAAGAUCCAAAUUCAAACAUACUUAAUGUAAUAAACAUCCAAAUUCAAUAUACCUACAAAUUUAAAUUAAGUUAACUAUCAAGUAUCAUAAAUCCUAACUCCAUAGUAACAACAUAAAUUCAAACAACAUAACUGUUGUGGUCACAUGGGAUUCGCCAUGAUCCAGCAGCUUUGCAAGCCCGAAAUCACCCACAACGGCCUCAUAGUGCUCAUCUAGCAGCACGUUUGCAGCCUUUACAUUCCUGUGGAUUAUCUUGGGAUCACAGUGAUCAUGGAGAUACAGCACGCCCCUUGUAGCUCCCACUGCAAUCUUCUUCCUCGUCGUCCAAUCUAGAGUCGGUUCCCCUGUAUCAAAAAUGAUAAACAUUCUCAACAUAUCAAGUUUCAAACAACAAUCCUACAUAGGAUCCUUUAAAAAUCUCAAAAAGUCUGAUUUACAUGACCAAUCCAUUACAUCAUAUUAAAGAAGAUAAUUUGAUAUCAUGAAACAGAUUCACUGCAGUUGAAAUGGGCCCUAUAAAGAUCACAGAUGAUGAUUUUCUUCUGUCAUGUUAUAACUAAUAAAGCAUCAUAAGAGCCCAAAUCAUACUAAGUAUUAGCAUUUUACCUAAAAAAGGGCUAAAAAUUUAUAUACCUCUAAGUCUUGCCGCCACACUCCCAUUAGACAUAUAAGGAUACACAAGAAGCCUCUCAUUUGGGGUGGCGCGGUAGCCUAUUAUACGAAGCAGAUUGCGAUGGACUGCUAGACUGAUCAUCUCCAGCUCAAUUCUGAACUGUGAUUCCCCUGUAGUUCCCAUCAAGUCUUUUAGUCAUUUCACUGCCACCACGACACCAUCUCCCAGCUUCCCUCGAAUACUACAACAACAUACUAAUCAAGGGCAUGAAACCUAAAAAUGUAACAUAUGCAAGAAGUAAAACAUACGGUACAGAACUCUCAUAUGCAUGCAUAAAUCAAGAUUUCCACAAUAUGAUUGUGUUGUGUUUAUUACAGUAACAUAAUUAUCGAGUAACAUGAUGAUUAAGUCCAUAAAUUCUGCAAAAUGAGUCAUUUACUAGUCACUAAUCAGUUGGCUUUAAGAAAUAAAGAUACAAUUAAAGGAUCAAUUAAAGGAAAUAAGAGUGAUUACCAAGUGAUACGGGUUAGACAGUAAAUAAUCAUCUUCCUGCCCAAACUCACUCUCUUUUCCGCUGCAGAGAAAUCCAAAGAGAGGAUUAAAAGAUAGGUAUAUAGGAUCCCAUGUAUUCCAGAAAAUGAAGCAGAUUAUGUGUAUAAAGUUUCCAACUCCAAUUCAGUAACUGCGGAUUUUUGACAGUCUGACCACAGUCUAACUUUAAUUGAUGAGACUAGCGGCUACUUAAGACUAGAAUUAGGAAACAAGCAAACAAGCUAUUAAGUUCUUCCUUGUUGAAAAUUUCUGCCAGAAGCAAAACAAGUGAAGAAUAUUACUGCAUUAAAUCUCAAAAUGCAGCAAACCUCAUCCAAAAAAUAUAACAAUCAAAUUCUGCCACAAAAGCUCACAAGAUUACCUGUUGAAGGAAAGGAGAAUCAGAAUGUGGCGAUUCUGGCAGGUGAACGACAACUCGAAUUUGGCAUAAACUUUGAUGAAAAAUGACAUAAAGCAUCAAAAUCCAAUUUAGUAGAGAAUUCAACAAAAUCAGCAAAUUAACUUUGAAUGCACCUUUCAAAUUUGAGAGAGAGAGAGAGAGAGAGAGGAGGAGACGUCCGGCGGGGGAGAGAGGCGGCGGCAGACAGCAGCAGGGGACUCCGGCUGACGGCGCGGCGAACGGAGCAGGGGCCGACGUCAAUUAAAAUAAUCAGAGAACUGAUUUAGGGCAACUGAUUCAUAGAAACGGAACGGGGCAACUGAUUCAGAGAAACGAAACGGAGCAGCGGAGAACCUGCUCGUGUAGAGCGACUCCGGCGGCGCGGCGGCGAGGAGAGGCAGCAGACGGGGCAGGGGGCGGAGCAGCUAGCGCGGGGGUAGGGAAGUGAUAUUACAGCAACUGAUUUGGGGAAAGGAUCUAAUAUCAGAAAACUUAAUUUCUCGACGGAUUCUCGACGGCCCUACCGAAAUAAUAAAAAUAAUUAUUUUUAUUUAUAUAUGUCGACGGAUUCUCGACGGGCCCUUAAAUUUUUAAUUAAAUUUAAUAAUUGUCGACAGAUUAACGACGGGCAAAUAAAAAAUAAAAAUAAUAUUUUAAAAAAUUAAAAUUUCUCGACGGAUUUAUGACGGUGCUUAGAUUCCGUCAAGAAUCCGUCGAGAACGCCGCUAUUUUCUCAACGGAAUACCUCCCGUCGUUAAUUUCCGCCACUGUUCACACCAUUUUUUGAGUGUAAUCAUUUUUUUAGGGAAAAAUAGUAGUAUUAAUUAGGUAUCAUUCAAUAAAAAUAUUUUACUUUUAUAAUAAAUAAUUAUAAAAUACUCCCUACGUUUACGAGGAAUUUACCAUAAUUUCAUUUUCGGUCCGUCCACGAAAAAUUUGACAUUCCAUUUAUAACAGUAGGAUCCACAUAAAUUCCACUCACAUUUAAAAAUGAUAUCUUAAUUUCACUAACAAUUUCACGUCAUAUUUUUUAAAAACUGGUAUUGUACAGAAAUUUUUUAUAGGCAUAGGGAACAAUAAAAUUAAGAAUGAACAAUAAAUUAGCCGUAGGAUAAAAGAUCUAUUAACAUUUACAAAAAAUGUGACCAAAAAUAGUUUCAGUAAUAGUCUAUAAAAUUAUCGCAAAGCCAAUAACAACCAACCUCUAGGGUUGUCAUGGCAACUAAAUUUAAACACCCAUUGGAGCCAUGGACUCACCUCCCCGACAAAAUUGUCUUGGUCACUGGGGCGUCCUCCGGCCUUGGCCUCGAGUUCUGCCUCGAUCUCGCCGCAGACGGCUGCCGGAUUGUCGCGGCUGCACGUCGGACUGAUCGGCUCGAGUCCCUAUGCGAUCAAAUCAACGGGCAAAUUGAUGGAGUGAGCAAUGGUGGCUCGUGUCGAGCCAAAUCUGUGGUGCUCGACGUCACGGCGGACGGCCCAACUAUUGAGGCCGCCGUCGAGAAAGCUUGGUACGCAUUCGGGCAUGUCGAUGUGUUGAUCAACAAUGCUGGUGUGAGAGGUAUGGACUUCUUAAUUUGGUUGAGUGAAUGAUGCAACUAGUUGGCGAUUAAUUAAUUGAUCACAUAAUUAUGCUAAGUGAUAGAUGUUCAAGAGAAGUUUGGGUUUGAGUGAUAAUACAUGAUUGAUAAAAUAUAUAAUUAUAUUAAGGAUUUGGUUUGUGUAUGAUUUGAUUCGUGCUCGUCUCGUACUCUAAUCAUUCAAUUAUACUUACUUAAAGGUGGAUGAAUUAUUUAAUCAUNUUUAAAAUAAUAACACUACAAAAAAAAUCGCAUUUCUCGACGGAAAUUUCCGUCGGCAAAAUUAAAAAUGCCGUCGUUAAGUUGUUUCUCGACGGAUUGCCGACGGAAAACGAGAGUCACUAAAUUAAUCGUGGGAAAAUAAUUCUCGACGGAAAUUCCCGUCGAGAAAUUAACGACGAAAAUUUCCGUCGAGAAAAUAUUUAUUUACCGUCGUUAGUGCGUGGGAAAAUUCUGUCGAAUUUCACAGAUUUACGACGGAUUCUCGACGAAAAAUUCCGUCGUUAAUUUCUCGAUGGAAAUUUCCGUCGAGAAUUUUUUUUUACCCUGAAAGUGGAUUCCGUCGAGAAUCCGUCGAGAAUUUGAUAAUUUUUCAUUUCCGUCGACAAUCCGUCGACAAUUAUUAUUAUUAUUUAUUAUUUUUUUUUUGAAAAUUUAAUAUCCUGUAAAAAUCAAUCUAAAAUAUUCAAAUUCAAAUAUACUUAUAAUAAAGAUCCAAAUUCAAACAUACUUAAUGUAAUAAACAUCCAAAUUCAAUAUACCUACAAAUUUAAAUUAAGUUAACUAUCAAGUAUCAUAAAUCCUAACUCCAUAGUAACAACAUAAAUUCAAACAACAUAACUGUUGUGGUCACAUGGGAUUCGCCAUGAUCCAGCAGCUUUGCAAGCCCGAAAUCACCCACAACGGCCUCAUAGUGCUCAUCUAGCAGCACGUUUGCAGCCUUUACAUUCCUGUGGAUUAUCUUGGGAUCACAGUGAUCAUGGAGAUACAGCAG